CAAAAGCAAUUCUUUUGUGUGUGUGAGAUGCUAAACCCACGUCAAAACAGCUUCGGGCUGUAGAAAUGAUUUGGGUUGCGAUUUAACAAGGAAACAGAACCUCCAUCUCUGGAAAGAACACUGACUUAGAAGUAGAUUUCAAGCAGCCUAGGUAUCCAUCAAUUGAUGGAUGAAGAAAGAAAAUAUGCAUAUAUGCACUAAGUAGUGCUACUCAUCCAUGAAGGAUCCUUAACUCCUUCCAUUUGCAGCAAAGUGAGUGAGACUGGAGGACAUAAUGUUAAGUGAAACAAGCCAGACCCAGAAAAAAAGGCACACUAAGGAUUAUCCGGAACCAUCUUCAAAGCAACUGGAGGAACUCCACUCAUGUGUAACAAGAACCAUCCAAGUACCACAGUACAACUACUUUCUUAUUUUAAAAUGUGUGUGUUGUUGUUGUUGUUGUUGUUGUUGCUGCUGCUGCUGCUGCUGCUGUUGUUAGUGCUACAGCUUGUAACUGCCCCAACUCACUGGUGACAGCUCUCUGUAGAGCCUCUCAUUAUUUUAAACCCAGUUUCCAUUAAGACAAAAUGAUUUCUGGAUCUCUAUAUCCAUAUGUUAUAGUUGUAAAUGGAGAAAUAUUUUCCCCCUCAAGGUAAAUAUUCAACAUAAAUCUGGGGUUUGUUUUCUGGGCAAAGGUUUUUCUUUUGCAGCAAGUUCUCUGAUGGUUAUAGCUGAUAGGAAACCUCAAAAUAUUUUGCAUUUAGCUCAGAUAAGCAUCUGUGACUUUGAAUGUUAUUCCAAACUUUUUAAUCCAUAAAUUAAAAAUGUAUGAGCAAAAGGUUUACACCAGAUUUUUGCUCUCAGAUACAAUCAGCCUUAGCAACUGAGCAUGCAAAUGACAAAUGCAGUAUAAAUUUUAUGUAACCUAUAGCCAGGCUAAUGCUUAGGACCAGGUUCUUUUUCCAAAGUUAUUCAUUGAAACAGUGCUACACAGUGCUGUGGUACCUAAGCCAGUCGGUCAGUGCUUGCCAUGGAGCGUCUGAGUCUCCAAAAGUCAGUGGUCCUGGACUCCGCGUAGGAAAACAGUAACAAUAGUAUCUCACUAUUCAGCUCUGUGGUUUUUGUUUAUGUGUUUGUUUGUUUGUGUGUGUGUGUUCUAAGUCAUUUAGCACCAAUCCUAAACCUAUGGUGGGUGCUACUUUCAUCCAGAGUUUACACCUACUAUACAUUCUUUAGGACAGUGUUCUCAACUUCUGGGCCUGGAAAGGGAUGGAGGAGGAUGCAAAGAAGAAACUGUUCAAAACAAAUACAGGUGUAAAGAGAGACAAGGAAAAUAAGGGAUUGGGAAAAGUUAGCUGUGAAGUUGUACUGACCAUUAAUAGCAUGGAUGACCCACCUUAGUUCCUUCCUCUUAUUCCUGGAGUUAUCCUCUGGCCUUCACUAUAAUAUCUUUCUCUCAGAUCUUCAUUUGUUUCAUUUCCUUCUUAUUCUACUAAAGACUACACUACUAAAGGUGAGUUGAAUAAACUGAAGAACAGAAUUAGGUAUAAAUUGGGUUAUUACAAUGGCAAACUAUUCUGUAUUACGAAUGCCUAGGGGGCUUCUGUGGCCACUGAAUAGUCUGCUUUUAAAACCAGGGAAGUCCCUAAGAACUCAGCCAUCUUAGUCCUUCCAUGAAAGCAAAAGACACUCUGUGGAGAUAAACGGAAAGGAAGUAGUAAUUAAAAAGACUACUCUAGGAGCAAAAGCUGUGGGAAACUUGUGGGAGCAGAACUCCAGACACAUGGGAGAGGCUUUGGCUCGCAUUCCAAGUGCACUGAGAGGAUUAAGCACACAUUCCUCUUGUUCAUGUCUCUGUCCACUUUGUAAGUAGUCUGAAGAGAUAUUAAUUCUGACCAAAGCCUAAGUCAAGAGGUGUCCAUAUGUAGAGAGAAUGAAAGCACUUGAUCUGGUAAAAGCAAGUGAAAAUCUACUCCAUUAGAUAUCCAGAUUGCUUGGCACCAUUGUUUGGGUUUUUCUUGUUUUAUGAUUAAGGGAAUAAUAUAGUUAUCAAAUUCAAAUUCAUAUGUAACUAAUAAAUAUUUUUGAGAUGAAUAAAUCUAUAGAUGAUUGGGAAAUGGCUUGAAAUAGCCUAUGGAGACUUAUUCUAUCUACUAUCUACUGUAUUUUGCUUGGUUUUCUAAGGACACAUUUUUUAGUUAUCUUUUGAUUUAUUGUUCUUUUCACCUAAAAAUC